AGAGACUUGAGAGUUAUAUGUCUGCUUCCUUCUCAACUGGAAGCUAUGAAAGUCAGCAAGGUCGGAAAUCAGAACGCAGAAGAGCUUCCUCUAGUUUUUGGGUUUUCAGAGCAGGGCUGAAAGAUGGGCCAGCAGACGCAGAUGAUCAUUCAGUGAAAUGUUGGACUCCCAGUGUUGCUGUGGAGAGCUCUGUGGACGCCCAGUAUGUCACGAAGAGGAACAAGAAGACUGAGAUGAUGCAAUGUGAGAUUCUCUUCUGGAUAUCCAAAGGUCAAACUAUAAAAAAUGAGGUGUUCGCUGAACUUGAAAAAUGAAGGCAACAGUUGGCAAGACUUUGUGGAGUUGAAUUCAUCUUAUUUAAGUACAUUUCUUGACAAAAGGUGAACUUGAAAGUUGCAUUACCUAAUGGGAGUUUUAUGCAAAUGUCUCUUUUUAUUUAUAUGGUUGUUGAAUAUUAUGAACCUCUCACUGAACACACACACUACAGUUCAAAUGUUUAGGGUCAGCAGAAGAUUGUUAUAAAGUAGUCUCUUAGCUGCAUUUAUUUGAUAAAAUACUCUUACAAUUUAUAAUAAAUGCUUUCUAUUUGAAUAUAUUAAAAAAAAAAAAAAAAUUCCUAUGAUGGCAAAGCUGAAUUUUCAGCAUCAUUACUCUAGUCUUCAGUGUCACAUGAUCCUUUUCUGGUCAAGAAACAUAUUAUCAUUGUUGAAAGUAGUUGUGCUGCUUAAUAUUUUUGUGGAAACUGAAAUAUGAUUCAUUUUUUAGGACUCUUUGAUUAAUAAAGUUAGAAAGAACAAUAUAUUUUCUAACAUUAUAAAUGUCACUUUUGACCAAUUUAAUGCAUCCUUGUUGAAUAAAAUAAUGAAUUUCUUUCAAAAGAAAAAUCUUACUGGCCCGAACCUUUGAUCGAUAGUGGAUAAGAAUGCCACAACAGACAAAAACACAACAGUGUUUUUUUUUUUUUUUUUUUUUAACUAAAACAUGCAAUCAUUGACUGAAUUCAAACCAAGUCCUGUCGGUUCGAUUUAAACACAUCACAAUAGAAAAGCUGUGUUGAGAUGCAUUAAUGUUAAGUAAUGGAAGUUAAAACAGUGUUUGAGUUUUUUAAUAUAAUUUAUUUGGUCUAAGAAUCUUUUUUCAGUCACUGCUGUUCGUAAAUCUCAAGGUUUAUUUAUUUAUUCAGUUAUUUAUUUAGUCUUAUUCUGUAGAACAUAUACAUUUUGAUUGCGAGCAUGUGUUGCAGAUUUCCAGAUUUAUGUGACAUCAUUAUCUCCGAUUCUCUAAUCUAAUUCACCACAGCAUCACAGUUAAACAAACUGCAAGUCUGAAAAUGUGUGUUGUUUGGUCAGAAAUACAAAACAGUCUCCGGAACGGUAUAUAGAUUCCCGGAAAUGUUCCAGUGAAGUCCACAUGAUUAAGUGGUUUUAAAUGUUGCGUGUUGGAAUCAUGGUGACUUUUUCCACAUUAUCAAGAUAGUUUUGUACAAAAACACUGACUUUAGACCUCACCCAACCCUUACAACCUUAGAAGUUUUCAACAUUGUUGCUUUAUAAUUUCAAUGGCAAUUGAUAUUGCAUGGAAUAUUCUGUGGAUUUUACUUCAUCUAAAUGGGAGAUUUUAAAGUAAUUGGAUUUACGAGGGAAGUAAAUAUACAAGCUGAUGAUCAUUAUAGGUCAAUGGCACCAAACCGACCCAAAGGGGAACAUAGCACAAUAUUUAUAACACAUAUUAAUGCAUCUAAAAGAG
rnacentral:lncRNA from 12 species